rnacentral:lncRNA from 1 species
AUCAGAGGGCUUGGCGAUAUUGUUUGGGUUAGGGGCAGAAGGGAAAGAGUCCUUCAAUUUGGGGGCGCGUGAAUCCUUUUCUAGGGUUUCCUGAAUUCUCUUUAGAUUCGGAACGUGACCCAUCUCUCCCCUUUGCUCCCACACUUCGUUCUUUCUCCUCUUUCUCUCUCCGUAUGUGUGUGUUGUGUGUAGAUAUAUAUGAUUCGAACACCAAUUCAAUGUAUGUAUAUAUAUAAAUCUAUAUCGAUAUUGAUAAAAACAGGAUUGAAUGAAGCAGAGAAUUGAUGUGAGAAACAGUGGGAAAAGGUAGAAUUAGGGCUUUUGGUAGAGAAAAUGAAGAAGAGUAGGAGAAGGUUAUCCCGUUCUCCCUCGGUUCUCUCUCUGAUUUUUGU